GACGGGGCCCGCACAAGCGGAGGAGCAUGUGGUUAAUUCGAUGAUACGCGAGGAACCUUACCUGGGCUCGAACGUAAGAUGACUGUAGGUGAAAGCUUACAUCUCUUCGGAGCAUUUUACGAGGUGCUGCAUGGUUGUCGUCAGCUCGUGCCGUGAGGUGUCGGGUUAAGUCCCAUAACGAGCGCAACCCCUACCUUUAGUUGCCAUCAGGUUAAGCUGGGGACUCUAAAGGAACUGCCUACGCAAGUAGUGAGGAAGCGGGGAUGACGUCAAAUCAGCACGGCCCUUACGUCCAGGGCUACACACGUGCUACAAUGGCCGAUACAGAGGGCAGCUACCUGGUGACAGGAUGCAAAUCUCCAAAGUCGGUCUCAGUUCGGAUCGGAGUCUGCAACCCGACUCCGUGAAGUUGGAUUCGCUAGUAAUCGCGCAUCAGCCAUGGCGCGGUGAAUACGUUCCCGGGCCUU
rnacentral:rRNA from 1 species